rnacentral:tRNA from 1 species
CGGGGUGGAGCAGCUCGGUAGCUCGCUGGGCUCAUAACCCAGAGGUCGCAGGUUCGAAUCCUGUCCCCGCUA